GACGGAGGAGGCAAGCGAUAUCCGGAAUUAUUGGGCGUAAAGGGUACGUAGGCGGCUGGUCAAGUCUGGGGUCAAAGGCCACAGCUCAACUGUGGGAAGGCCCUGGAAACUGACCGGCUAGAGUGAGGUAGGGGUUGCGGGAAUUCCCGGUGUAGCGGUGAAAUGCGUAGAGAUCGGGAAGAACACCUGAGGCGGAAGCGCGCAACUGGGCCUCAACUGACGCUGAGGUACGAAAGCUAGGGGAGCGAAUGGG
rnacentral:rRNA from 1 species